rnacentral:rRNA from 1 species
UACAGAGGGGGCAAGCGUUGUUCGGAAUUACUGGGCGUAAAGGGCUCGUAGGCGGCCAACUAAGUCAGACGUGAAAUCCCUCGGCUUAACCGGGGAACUGCAUCUGAUACUGGAUGGCUUGAGUUCGGGAGAGGGAUGCGGAAUUCCAGGUGUAGCGGUGAAAUGCGUAGAUAUCUGGAGGAACACCGGUGGCGAAGGCGGCAACCUGGACCGACACUGACGCUGAGGAGCGAAAGCCAGGGGAGCAAACGGG